rnacentral:RNase_P_RNA from 3 species
GGAGUCGGCCGGACAGUCGCUGCCUCGGCAACGAGGUGGAGGAAAGUCCGGGCUCCACAGGGCAGGGUGCCAGGUAACGCCUGGGGGACGCAAGUCUACGGAAAGUGCCGCAGAAAAGAUACCGCCUAAGCGCCUUUAGCGCCGGUAAGGGUGAAAUGGUGCGGUAAGAGCGCACCGCGCUGACGGUAACGCCAGUGGCAGGGUAAACCCCACCCGGAGCAAGACCAAAUAGGGGAGCAUUGGUGUGGCCCGCAUCGCUCCCGGGUAGGUUGCUUGAGGUGCACGGUGACGUGCAUCCCAGAUGAAUGGCUGUCCUCGACAGAACCCGGCUUACAGGCCGGCUCCCCCU